GGAACUGAAAUACAUGAAUUAUGUGUCUAAGUAGAAGAAUUAAGGUUGCUACUGAUUUUAUUGGAAAUUGUCAGAAUUGUUUUGGAAAAUUAAAUAGUGAUGUAUCAGCUGAACUUAAGACCAUUUGUAUGAAUGAAAUACAGUUAGUUGCUAAAAGUUCUUGACUGAUAUUAAAGUUUAGUUAACCCUAAGGUAGAGCAAAACAAGAUGAAAUAAAAAUAAGAGCUAGAAGAGCUAAUGAUUAUGCAUGUAAACCUGACAUUGGAAGACAAGAUUGCUGCUGUUAAUUCUAACGAACCUGGUAGUGUUUAUUUCAACAUUUAGGGGGAUUUAAUUAAUUUUGAGCAGAAUAAAAUAGAAUAGAGCAAAGUAAGAGUUAAGCAAGCUAAAGAAUAAGCAUAAGACAGCAAAACAUGUAUAGUUUUGUUCUUGAAGCAUGUUAGUAAUGUAUUUAUCUGUAUUUACUAAUGUCUAGGGAAGGAAAAGAGCUUGAGAAAGGAUGUCUUGGAUAAGUAAGCAGCGAGCCAGUCUAGCAGCCAUUUGUGGUGAGUGAGUUUUUCAUCUAGCUUUGGUGUUUUUCUUUCUUAAAAGAAAACCUAUUUUCUGAUAUUCUACAACUCAUAUGUGUAUAUGCAAGUAGAAAGAUAGGAAUUGAACUUUAUAGAAAUGUUACUCCAGUACUUGUGUAUGUGCUAUGUUUUGAUAGAAGUUUAUUCUGAUUUAGAAAUGGUUAUUAGAUAGUUUUUUAGUAAUUGCAUUCCAACUUUCCAACAUUUGAAAGUUUAUCUAGUGUUCAUUGAAAGGACAACCCAUGGAAUUGAUCAACCCAUAGGGUGUGUCCCUAAUGUUCUCUUUUAGCAAAUGUUUGGAAUGGCUACUCAUGGGACUGAACCACCUAUAUGGGGUGCCUUGGCAUCAGCAUUGGCAUUAUAUAUAUAGUAUGAGUAUCAGAUCAGUCGGCACCUUCUUGUGAAAUAUUAUAUCCGUGGGGGCUUAUUACCAUCAUAUUAGAUAUACCGUCUCGACUACCAUAGUACAGGUGCGCUGUGGGAUAGUCGAUGGUAAGCUAAGUAGCAUGACUCAUUUCUUGGUUCAUUUUUAUAUAUUACAGCUUGUGAAUGUUUGAUAGUUAUGUAAAGUUGAAUAUAUUUCAGUAUUUUGAUUGAAAAGUUUAGAAUUGUUUCAGCAAAGCACUUAAAACUUCAAAAAUGACAGUUUUCUAUAUCGUGUUAAGCAUUAAAGUUAUAUAUUCCUAUUUUCUCCCAUUGUUAGUUGAAAUUCUUACUCACUGGGAUGUUAGUCUCAUUAUGUGGUUUAUUUUAUUUUUUCGGGACAGAUUGUAGCGCCAUAGCGUAAUAUAGCAGAGGUUGGACAGGUCAGCUGGAAGGAGCAUAUUUUGAAGAUAAAUAUAUUUUGAGAUGUUAAAUUUUAAAUAUACUUUAAUAAUGAAUGCUUAAGCCUUAUAUGAGGAUUGGUACUUGUUGAUCAUGUUAUAUGGAUGUGUAUGUAUAAAGCAUAGUGGAUGAAUGAAAGUAUGGAUUUAAUGUUGAGAAGAAAGCGGUGUGUUAAUGAAAUUAUGUGUGUCAACAUUAUGAUAUGUUGAUUUAUUUGAGCAGAAGCAAGUUCAGUUAGAAGUUUUCCCCUUUACCCUUAUCUAAGGAUACAUUUACUCUUAUUUAAGGGUGGGGUGUAGCACUUCUAUCCGGUAAUUAGGGGUGGGAUGUUACAUAGGUAGUAUUAGAGCAAGGUUUUCAUGAUUAUUUGGGAGUAUGUAAGAAUAAAUUAUUGUUCAAAGCAAGGUUUAUAAUUAAUUGAGAGUAUGUUGGAAUAAAUUGUUGAUCAGACUUAAUGGUUUAUGAUCAAUUGAAGAAAAGUUGAAGUUUAUGAUCAUUUGGGGCAAGAGUAAGUUUAUAAGUAGUAGAGAUGGUGAUGUAAGUAGUAUUUGAUGAUACAGGUGUAAUAAAGCAUUACAAUGUGUUCAAGUUAAGAGAAAGUAAGUUGAAUUCAGAUGUUUAAAAGACUAGAAUGAUUUUCAUAGAAGUUUAACAUUUAGCAAGAGAGAUGUUUUGGAAUAGUUAAAUUGCAUGGGUAUUAUUUAAUGGAUUUCAUUUCAAUAAGAAUUAUCUCAUUAAGUGACUAAUUUUAUGAUGUUAACUACAGAUGAUGGAGAUUAUUGAUUUAUCCCAAAGAUAAUGUUGACUGAAGCGGUAAGGAAGUUAGGGUUGCCAGACCCGGUGUAUGGACAAGAAAGGAAUCAAGAGCAGGUCGACAAAUCUUUUGUUGAGGUGAUUGUGAAUAGGGGAGAUCCACCUCAGGAGAUAAUAAAAGCUUUUGGUUCGUUUGGGGUUGAGCAGCUGAAAUUAGAAGAGCAAGUAGCUAUUUUCGCUCUCAAUAAUUUGCAGCAUUGGUUUCAUUUUGAAGUGCGAGAUUUUAACUUUGAGGACAAGGAGGAUUACAAGCAUUCUUAUCAAAGAAUGAGGGCUAGAUAUAAUGUUUUAAGUGCAGAGUUACAGCAGCUAAGAUGGGAUUAUGAGCGACUAAGAGAUAUUAAUCAAAAACAUAUUGAUGAAUAUUCUAAUUUGCAACGUCAAGUGGACAAACUGAGACAAGGACUUCCCCCAGACUCUGCAUCAUCUUUCAGAGAAAAUUGAUAUAUGAAAGAAAAGGAAAGGGAACAAGUAAGAAAAGUAGGAGCUGCCAAGGACAAAAGGGGUUGUGUCAAUCAGAGUAAGGAGUAACUUUUUGUAUCAAUUUAAGUAAAGAGCAUUUUGGUUAGGUUAAUUGGAGAGAAGUGUUUUGGUUAUGUUGUAUAUUUUAGGUUUGUUUUACCUAAGAAAAUGUUGAUGCAUGUACUUUAAAGUCAUGUGUAUAAAGUUAUGGAGUAAAUAAGCAAAGUUGUAAAAUUGUUUUAGUUUAUGAUCAUUGGCAUGUUUGGUUCCAAGCCUAGCAAGUUGGUUUGCAAUAAUGAUUUGAGUUUCGGAAUGUUUUUAAGUGCAAGAAUCUAAAUUUUGAUGAUGAAAUUCUUUAAAGGAGGAGAGAAAUGUAACAUCCCAAACCAAGGAUGUCAUGAUAUUCGAGAAUUUAAUUCAAAUAUAGUAUUUAUUUAUAUAUCAUAGUAUGUUAUGAGCACUGGAACCCUAAUGGAUUAGUAAUAUUAAGGAAGUUUGGGUAUAAAUGUAAUUAAGAAGGAAGAUGAUUAAAGACUUAAAAAUUAAUAGUAAUGGUAUAAAAAAUUAAAGUUUGGUGAUCAUUAAACAAGACUAAAUGAAAUCUUGAAGGGUUCUUAGAUAAAGUUGAUUUGGAUAGUAAUUUUGAAGUGCAAAUGGAUGAUUUGUGGUAGAUUUCUGAACCCCAGGAGACUGGGUCGACUCAAUUUGAGGAUGGGUCGGCUCAGUCAUAGGAAACAGAAGCAUAUUAGAAGAUCUAUAGUAGUGCACAGUUAGUCGACCCAAUUUUGAACUGAGUUGACUAAGUUGAAUUGGGUCGGCUCAAUUUUAGGGUGGGUCGCCUAACUGUGCGGGAAAGCUUGAGCGGUGGGGUUCUGCUGAGUGGCUGAACUUUGAGAUUUUAAAUUAAUUUUCAAGGAGGUUACUCAGUAGUUGUUUUAAUUUAAAUUAAGGGUUGGAAAACCUAAAUAAGUGUUGGAAAAUUUAUGAGAUGGACUCCUAACCAGGUGGGCUUUUAAAAUUUCUUUUCCUAAGGAGGCUGUCCAUCGAUUCUUCCUAAGUUUGGUAGUUCUGGAUCUUGGGUGCAACUAGAGAGGAUAGAGAUGGUGAGAAGCUAGAAAGGAAGGUGUUCUCAGUUGAAACCAAGGGAGAAUUCAGUUGGAGCGAGGGAAUUUAGUGAUAAAUUAAAGUGAAGAAAGAAAAGUUGCUGACAAGGAAAAGAAAGAAGCUUGUUUUGGAUUUGCAGCAGGAUUUUCUUCAUUUGAGGUAAGAAUUCCAAUCCCUAAGCUUGUUCAAAAUUAAAACUUGAGUAGUCAUUAUCAAAUUUGAUGUUAUGAGGAAUUAAGGUAUGUGUUUAAACUCAGAUUUUUAAGAUGAAUUAUGCUGUCUCUUUGCUGAAAGUUAUUGGAUGGUCCUGAGAGGUAGCUAAAACUGUUGGUGGCUGCAAUAUAUCAGCUAGUUAAGAUGAGAACUCCAGACUCUAAACUGAAUUUAGGUUAAAUUCUGACCGAUAACUAUAAAAUUGAUGUUCAGGGGAACUCAAAUACAUGAAUUAGUGUCUAAGUAGAAGAAUUAAGGUUGCUACCAAUUUUAUUGGAAAUUGUCAGAAUUGUUGUGGAAAAUUAAAUAGUGAUGUAUCAGCUGAACUUAAGACCAUUUGGAUGAAUGAAAUACAAUUAGUUGCUAAAAGUUCUUAACUGAUAUUGAAGUUUAGUUAACCCUAAGGUAGAGCAAAACAAGAUGAAAUAAAAAUAAGAGCUAGAAGAGCUAACGAUUAUGCAUGUAAACCUGACAUUGGAAGCAAGGUUGCUGCUAUUAAUUCUAACGAAUCUGGUAGUGUUUAUUUCAACAUUUAGGGGGAUUUAAUUAAUUUUGAGCAGAAUAAAAUAGAACAGAGCAAAGUAAGAGUUAAGCAAGCUAAAGAAUAAGCAUAAGACAACAAAACAUGUAUAGUUUUGUUCUUGAAGCAUGUUAGUACUGUAUUUAUUAGUAUUUACUAAUGUCUAGGGAAGGAAAAGAGCUUGAGAAAGGAUGUCUUGGAUAAGUAAGCAGCGAGCCAGUCUAGCAGCCAUUUGUGGUAAGUGAUUUUUCCAUCUAGAAAGAAAACCUUUCUAAUGUUUUCCUUUCUUAAAAGAAAACCUAUUUUCUGAUAUUCUACAGCUCAUAUGUGUAUAUGCAAGUAGGAAGACA
rnacentral:lncRNA from 1 species